UACGGGGGGGGCAAGCGUUGUCCGGAUUUAUUGGGCGUAAAGAGCUCGUAGGCGGCUCGUUGCGUCAACCGUGAAAACCCGGGGCUUAACUUCGGGCUUGCAGUGGGUACGGGCAGACUAGAGUGCGGUAGGGGUGACUGGAAUUCCUGGUGUAGCGGUGGAAUGCGCAGAUAUCAGGAGGAACACCGAUGGCGAAGGCAGGUCUCUGGGCAAUUCCUGACGCUGAGGCGCGAAAGCGUGGGGAGCAAACGGG
rnacentral:rRNA from 1 species